rnacentral:ncRNA from 2 species
AUGUUAUCGAGAAAGGUGGAGAGAUUAGACUCUGUGAAACCUUGGCAACCCUUCGGAAACGAAGAAGGUGCUAAAUUCUAUCUGCAAUGGCAGAAAAGAUAACCU